rnacentral:rRNA from 1 species
UACGUAGGUGACAAGCGUUGUCCGGAUUUACUGGGCGUAAAGAGCGCGCAGGCGGUCGAUCAAGUCGAGUGUGAAAGCCCCCGGCUCAACUGGGGAGGGUCAUUCGAUACUGAUCGACUCGAAGGCAGGAGAGGGUAGUGGAAUUCCCGGUGUAGUGGUGAAAUUCGUAGAUAUCGGGAGGAACACCAGUGGCGAAGGCGGUUGCCUGGGGCUUUGCUGACGCUGAGGCGCGAAAGCGUGGGGAGCGAUCCGG